AGAGCAGAGAAAUAAAGCAAGGAAGAAAGUGGAACAGACAGUGGAGUAUAUUUGUUGGUCCAAAUAUGAAAUGGGGACAGACUGGUUUCUCAUCAGAGUGGACAGAUGGGCCAGAUGUGGAGAAAAAUGGAGGGAGACUAAGAAGUUGAUGGCAGUUUUUUCUGAAGGAUUUAAUGAGGGGUCAAAGGAAGACUUUGCAAGAUGAGUGAGAAGGAAUUCCUGGAAAGGUUCGGACAUUGAAGUCUCACCUUUCUACAGCUGUCAGCGGUUGUUACGGUAACAGUAGGCCAGUAGA